rnacentral:rRNA from 1 species
UCGAACGAGAACCGUAGCAAUACGGGGAAAGUGGCGAAAGGGGCAGUAAUGCAUGGGUAAUCUACCCCGGAGACGUGGAUAGCCAUCCUAACGGGUGGGUAAUACACGGCGAUUCGGCGAGGGGGCAUCCUUUUGUCGGGAAAUGAAUUUCGCCUCGGGAGGAACUCAUGUCGUAUUAGCUUGUUGGCGGGGUAACGGCCCACCAAGGCACAGAUGCGUAGCGGGUGUGAGAGCACGACCCGCGCCACUGGCACUGAGACACUGGCCAGACACCUACGGGUGGCUGCAGUCGAGGAUCUUCGGCAAUGGGCGCAAGCCUGACCGAGCGACGCCGCGUGUGCGACGAAGGCCUUCGGGUUGUAAAGCACUGUCGAGGGGGAGGAAAGCCGAAAGGUCUGACCUAUCCCUGGAGGAAGCACGGGCUAAGUUCGUGCCAGCAGCCGCGGUAAGACGAACCGUGCGAACGUUGUUCGGAAUCACUGGGCUUAAAGGGCGCGUAGGCGGGCGAUCAAGUCAGGGGUGAAAUCCUCCAGCUUAACUGGAGAACUGCCUCUGAUACUGGUCAUCUUGAGUGAGGUAGGGGCGUGCGGAACUGAUGGUGGAGCGGUGAAAUGUGUUGAUAUCAUCAGGAACUCCGGUGGCGAAAGCGGCGCGCUGGACCUUAACUGACGCUGAGGCGCGAAAGCCAGGGGAGCGAACGGGAUUAGAUACCCCGGUAGUCCUGGCCCUAAACGAUGAGGACUAGGUAGUAGACUUGACAUGGGUU